rnacentral:rRNA from 1 species
AUGCUUUUGGCGAGGUGCCUUCCGAGUUCCCUGGAACGGGACGCCAUAGAGGGUGAGAGCCCCGUACGGUAGGACCACCGAGCCUUUGUAAAGCUCCUUYGACGAGUCGAGUAGUUUGGGAAUGCUGCUCUAAAUGGGAGGUGUACGUCUUCUAAAGCUAAAUACCGGCCAGAGACCGAUAGCGCACAAGUAGAGUGAUCGAAAGAUGAAAAGCACUUUGAAAAGAGGGUUAAAAAGUACGUGAAAUUGUUGAAAGGGAAGCAUUCAUGACCAGACUUGGGCUUGGUUGAACAUCCGGCGUUCUCGCCGGUGCACUCUGCCAGUCCAGGCCAGCAUCAGUUUGCCCCGGGGGACAAAGGCGGUGGGAAUGUGGCUCUCUCCGGGGAGUGUUAUAGCCCGCCGUGUAAUGCCCUGGGGCGGACUGAGGAACGCGCUUCGGCUCGGAUGCUGGCGUAAUGGUCAUCAAUGACCCGUCUUGAAACACGGACCAAGGAGUCGUCUUCGUAUGCGAGUGUUCGGGUGUCAAACCCCUACGCGAAAUGAAAGUGAACGUAGGUGAGAGCUUCGGCGCAUCACCGACCGAUCCUGAUGUUCUCGGACGGAUUUGAGUAAGAGCAUACGGGGCCGGACCCGAAAGAAGGYGAACUAUGCCUGUAUAGGGUGAAGCCAGASGAAACUCUSGUGGAGGCUCGCAGCGGUUCUGACGUGCAAAUCGAUCSUCAAAUAUGGGCAUGGGSGCGAAMGACUAAUCGAACCUUCUAGUAGCUGGUUU